AUAAUUGAAUAUAAAUAAUAAACAGAAAUAAGUAAAGGUUGUAAAAGAGGCUCAGAAAAUCUUGAAUAUCUAGAAGAUGAAAUUAACUAUUAAAAAUUCAUUUCCACAGAGAAAUGUGGUGUUUUCUUCUUUUUAGCUUUUUCAUAAAAUAGACCAUGCUGGAAAGGAAUAAUAAUCUAAUAUAUAUCAAAACAGUCAUUAAAUUGGUUCUGAAUUUUUGUGUUAAUAAUGCUGUAUAGUGCUUCCAAUGUAAUCUUGAGCUCUGAAUGCAUUGAGUCUGGAAAAAAAAAGCAAAGCAGCUGAAUAUGCCCAGUCCUUCCUAAGGUAGGUACUCCACACAGUGCUGUUGCAUAAAGCCAUUCUUCUGCAGACAUGAGAAAGAAUUACCAACACCAUUUUAGAGAUGGGGAGAUGGAUAACUCCUAAAGUUAAAUGUCUUACCAAAGCUUAAUAUGUUGUAGUUUAUAUAAAGAAAAAGGAAAUACUGCUUCUACUAGGAUUUUGAGGAUAUUCUUCAUAAACUAUUCUAAAUGAUUUGGUUUUAUGAAGCUGGUAUUGAAUGUAAUCUUUUCUUCUGGGCAACAUUUCAGGUUCUGACGCAUUCUUUUUUAAGAUCAACUGAUCAGUUGGUUUAGUUCAGUAGGUUUCAUUAAUAGCUAAGUACAGCGGUAAUUUAAAAUAUAAGUAAGAAAGGAGGACAGAUUUGGCUGACAUCAAAAAUCUUUAAAAUAUAUAAAAGAUGAAUUAAAAUUUUCAUCAGAUGAGAGUAGCUUCCCAUGUAAAAUAUUUUUCAGGGCUUUUUUGUUGAAUCCCAGCUCCUGUCUUUACUGAUAUUUAUGGUUUCACUAAAACGUUCAGGUAGAGAAAUACCUGCCCUCAUAAAUCAUUUGCAGAUAAUACUGGUUCAGACGCUCUCUGUCCAAAUUGAUAAUGGAUAUCUGAUUCAGAAGAAAUGUCUUGUUUCUCAAAGUUCUAUGGAGGAUGCUGGAAGCCAAAAAAAAAAACAAAAACAAAACACACUAACCAAACAGUAAAAGCAUGUAUUUUUUAAUUUCAGCAUUGUUUUUAUCUGUUUUGCAAGGUGCAGAGCUUGGAAAAGGAGGGAACCACAUCAUGAUCGUCUGAUUUGUGGGUUUUUUUUUCAAUUCAGUCUGGUUUCAGAAAGUGUAACUCUCUAUAUAUAUUGAGAGAUACACCAACCUGAGAAAUAUAAGUACAUUAUAAACAUUUUAAACCAACGAAGAUGUGAUAUGGAGCAGCAUGUGGUUCACCCACUGCAUUGUUCUGUUUUUUCAGCUGGCAAAUGUACCUGGUUUGUCUUUUUGCAGUUCAUUUUAUGUGUGCGUGUGUGGAGUUUUUGUGAGUUAUUUGUUGAUUUUUCUUUCGUGUAUUUACUCUUGCUGGUUUCUCUUCCUUUUAUAUUUGUACUCAUAUCUUAUGACUUGAUGGAUGUAAGACCAGGAAUGUUAUAAAUUCAGUUGCUUAGUUAUCAUGGAAGAGAUUGAGUUUUGGGUAAUCGUUUCCAUACCUUAUUGACUUCCCUGUUUUGGAAGAGGUUUUGGCUGGGUUGUAGGCUUUAUUUUAUUUCCUUGUCUGCCAAUAAUUUUCUUGUCUGUCAUCCAUCACAUCAAGAGAAUCAACAGGGAAAACCCAGAAAGUAGAGAUGAGUGGUGUCUUUUGGGAGAAAGGAAGCUACUGGGAAUGUGGAGUGGAAGCACUGCUUCCACUGUAUGGAGCACAGGCUGGUUUCUUCAGGCAUCUGUGUAAUAUGCUGUGUAACAGCAAGGUUACAUGAACUGCAUCAUGUAAGGUAACUGGAAUUAGAAUUUCUCAAGCAGUGACAAACUCUAAAAUCAGAGAAUGAUGUUGGGACUUCUGUCAUCUUUUUCAAAAAGAUAAUCAACUUUUUCUUGCCAUUUCUGGCUGUACCUAUUCAGUAUCAUUUGGCUGGACAUUUAAUAGAAUGAAAUCUGUACCAGGAUGCACAGGAUUUUUAGGACAGCUGGGGACAGGCCCAGGAUCUUGUGUGAUGCUUUUAAAAUCCUUCCUGGCAUUUAUGAAUUCACUGUACAGCCUGUAUGUUAAAAUUAGAGUUUAACUUCAGUUAUGAUUUAGAUACAAUGCUUGAAUAUUUUGCUUAUUUUGUCCUCCAGAGACCCAAACCUCUAUAGUUUUACACAUCUCUCAUGCAUAACAAAUUGAAAGUACGUUUGUUGAUUUGCUGGAAAUGAGUCAUGCGCUAAAAUCAUGCAGAUUCCUUUGUAUUCUUAUAACCACAAAACUAGUAUGAGCAGAGAUGAAAAAGUAGGUGGAGUUGGCCUUGAAAGAGAUGUUCUAAAUCUAAACAAGCUGUAUGAAAUGUUAUUGUCACAAAGGAAAAUUGAAAAAUACAACAAAAACAACUUCAUGCUUCUGAAGUAUUUCUGUUGCAGGUAAAUGUUGCCACAUAAGCUAAAGAAUGCUUAAUUGCCACAGUUUCCUAUUGAAGUUAAUCUGGGAAAUUUUCAGAAAUUCCUUUGUGUCUAAAAUGCCUGUGACUGAAAACGUUUUUAUCAGACACAGAUUUCUAAACUGUUGCAUUGGUAUAUAUUUAGGGAUUCACUCAUAUGUAUUGGUCAUUUAUUUAUUUAUAGAAAGCACUGUUCCUGAGCAUUAUUUUAAGAUACUGUAAGUCAGUAUAUUGCCUUUAAUAUGCCUCGGCUUCAAACUAUCUGUAACUCUGAUUUUUACCAGCUGUUGAUUUAAUUCUGUACUCACAAAAGUAGCGGUUAAGAAUAAGCUCAAAUUACAGAGCAGUGGUGUAUGUAUAAACAAGACAGGAAACCAUCCAAAGAAAAUCGUAUCUGCAGUCUUGAUUAUUGAAAGGGAAUAACAAUGUAAAUAGUUCAGGCAGCAUUUUAUUCCGUUUUAUGUCACCUCGCUGCUCUUUUGAUUUGUAUGGGUGAAGGUGAGAUAGCCUGUUCUGCCAGUGAUGAAGAUGCAGCAUUCUGAGUUAGCAAAAAGCUCAGUUUGUUCCUAUCUUUUUUGCUAUUUUGUAAUUUAAGUGUAUUCCCUUACUUUGUAAACUUAUCCGCAUUUAUCAGAUUGUCUGCACAGCAUAGGAAAAGUUACAUUUUCAGGGAUUUAAUUUAUACUUGUUUUAAUGAUAGCUGAGGGCUUUUACCAUUUGGCUGGAUCAAUACCUACCUAUAGGAAUUAGAUUUAUGAAUUAAUGUCUCAUUUCCUGCACGAAAGAAGAAAAAAUAAUUAGUUUGACGACUGUCUUGCCAACCUAUUUCCAUUUCAAGUGGUAUCUUCUACGUUCGCAGGUCUCCUUCACCUUAAGGUUUGUUUGUUUUUCAUAGCAGAAAGAGUUUUAGCAAGUAAUAUUAGAAACUUUCUAAAAUUAUAGCGUGUUAUCUUGUUCAACUAUCUUUUUGCAAUUAUGAUACGGAAAUAUUGCAUCAGCAACUUUCUAAACAUAGUAUGCAAUGGUGAAACGAGUUAAUUGAACAGUUAGGAGAUAAUGCAGUAUCAUUGACACGAUUUACUAUGUAAUUACCAUUGUUUCCAGUGGAGUUAUCAUGUCGCUACCACCUAAUAUCAUAUGUUAUUUUGUGAUAACUGUGAAAUUAACUUAUCAUCCUGUUUUGAGAGACCAUGUUGGUCUAAGACCAAUCACUCUCCACCAAAGUUAAAUAUAGGAGCUUGGUAAUAGGCUGACCUGCCCCCUAGCUUUGGAGUGUGGCAAUUAAAUCAUAAGCCUUAUAUUAAACCUUGGAGAGAAUGUAUCACUAAAACUCAUUUAUUUCAGAGUCCUGGGUGUCCUGAAUUAUAAAUAAGCUCUCUUGCUGCAAACAUCUAUCCAUCUAAAUGAGUCUGACAGUGUUUCUACAACAGGAGGAGAAAUAUUGCAUAAUCCAUCAAAACAUUUUAAAUGUCUUACAAUUAAAAUAAAUGUUUUUUUGAGUUGUGCAAUGAGGAACAUGAAUAUUUAUAUGAUAAUAGCAUGCAUCUCCAUACAGAUUCUUCCUGAAUUUGGUUUAUUAAUAUAUUUCUUAAUCUUCAUAAUUAAGUUAUGAUCCAAGCUUUUGCAUAUAUUAAUCAGAACAUAAGUAACUGGAAUUUUAUCUAAAUGAAAAUGUUCAGGAGUUUUGGAAUGUUCCCUUAAUAAUGGGAAGAAACAACCUUGCCUGUCCAUUUUUAACUUAAGUAGAAAUGAAUAGGAAGUAAGAAAAUAGUGGUGAGUUUUUGUUUUGGGGAUCCUUUUGAUAUACUUGGUUGUGAAUAUGUCUCCCAGUAACUUGGAAAUUAAAAUGUAUAGCUUUCUGUUUCACUUUCUACUUGCACAAACUUACGACCAUUAGUUCAAGUUCUGUUACCUUCUGCUGUAAUUUGAUAAGUAUUUACAUAAACAUAUAUCCUGUGUUCCUGCAUCGACAAAAUUAUCUUGAAUCAGUAAGUUUUGUUAUAAUUAGACUUGUUGCUUGUUUUUUCUUUUUUUCUUUUUUUUUUUUUUAAUUAGAAGUUAAUGUGGGAUAUUUUUAAUAUAAACAACUUUUCAUUUUAUUUUGUUAUUAGAGUUCUCCUUGUUCACAUAAUCUGUCUAUUUCCUCUUUGACUCAGCAAAUGCACCAGUGUUAACAGUCAAGAUAAAGAAUUUUAGCUGUUAAACACAUUGCAUGUAGGAGUAGCAAAAUAACCUGAGGGGUAUGGUAAAUUCGUCUGGCAUUGUUGGAAACAAUUUUUUCAUUUGUUUUUAUAAAAUAAGUUAAUGGUUUUCUCAUUACUAACUCUGACUUCCUUACCACAAGACAAAUAAACAAUCUGAGGACUGAUUAAAGGUCUCUAGAAAAUUGUACACUUUUAUCUUCUGAUCACUUGGUCUUAUGACCAGUGUAAUUUUAUUAGAACAGACAGUGAUUGUACUAGAUAGCAGCGGACUCGGAGUACACCUACGUUCUGUGUUGUUCAACAGAAACUUAAAAGGUCUGUUUUAUGAUCACUGCUCACGUUGUGUGACUGGAAGUAGUGUGGAAUUUUGCUUGGGUCUAUAAAAUUACCUGUGCUUGAAACCCCACCACUGGGUUUUUUCUGCUACACAUUUGCAGGUACAUAACUGCAUGCUUGAGAAUAGGUUUGCUGAAUGAGCGUUCUACAGCAAAACAGCCAUGCUGUCAUGUCGGAAAUGAACAGUAAAAAGAACAGAAUAAAAGAGUUCAGGAAUACCUUGGAGAAGGAGAGACUGAGAGACUAGUCAGAGAAAUUAUUUUAGCAGUUUUGCGCUAACACGCUAGCGUUUACUUUCUGUGUAGUUAGGUAAGAGAAAGCCACAAGCAGACUGUAGUGACUUUCUUCCCAAGUGCAGGAUUUUCUCCACACAUCAGUUUUUGAUGGUAUCUGUGAUCAAAGGGACGUGCGCUGUUCAUACGCUUCCUCUGUACUUCAGAACUGGUGGUGACCUGGAGGGUGCACAAGUGCCCUUGUGUGGUUGCCUGGAAACUUUGGCCCACACAAGUGUCAACUUUCUUUCAUGGCUAUAAAGGCAGACGGAGCCUCACAGAGAGCUUUAGUCUUAGAGAAAAAAAGGUCCUUGUGUGUUUUAAAACAAGUGUCUCACCAGGAGAUAAUGGUAGAGCAGUGGGUUAUAAAUGAUGUAUUUUGUUCACUUCGCCUUGAUAAUGGCACAAGGGAAAAAAAGUUCAUCGUUCUCUUAUCAAAAUACUGUGACAUUUCUCCUUCAACUGUAAAAUUUCCUAUCACAUUCCUCUCUUGCAACAGCAACUAAAUUUACUCGAUUGUGGAGACUAUAUAAUCUCUCAUCAAAAGGUGUCUUUUUUAUUCUUUCUUUUCUCCCUACUUACACUUCAGGAGAAGCACCAAGGUUGCUAAAAUCGUCCGCGAAUUAAUUUUUCUUCUAAGGCUCAUAUAAAUUAACUAGUAACUAUUAUACUGUGCCACACAGACUCUUCCUCUUGGCCAAGGGCAGUGUGCCAUCUUCACUCGUCAUGUUUGUUUUUUUUAACACUGACCACAUUCACUGCUUCUGAUGCGUUUUUAAGUAAGAAAAUUAUAAACGAAUGUGUCUACUGAUUGUUGAAGACCAAAAGCACUGAAGAACAGUUGAACCUCUCUAGAGUACUAAGUUAUUUUCAGUAAGUACAGAUUUGUGUUUGAUACAAUGUGUGACAUUUCUAUUCCUGCAAUUAAAUAACUUUCUGUAACAUUUCCAGCUUGCGAAAGUGCAGAUCUGCGUGUUCUUCUUGGGGAAGCAUGUUCAUUUAAGUUUUUGCCUGCCAUCUGCCCGAGCAAUGGUUCCCAAAACACGUUUCCACAGCACACUGGCAGUGCUCUGCUGGGGACGUCUGUGUGAAUGCGGGCGCAUUGUUUGGGGCUGUUUCCAGUGCGGCUGUUCUGAGCCAGCUGACGUCCAUGCAAAGGGAUUCCACCAGCUUUGGAUAAAAUUUGCCUUUUUCUCUACAAACUAUCAGUAAGCUUGCAUGUAUAGGUUAUAUUUCAUCUGUGUGAGCUGUUGCUCUGAUACAAAGGGACAACCACUUACAAAACCAGGGGACAUAUUACCACAAAAUACUUGUCUGCUUCCAUGACUGUGAUUGUAAACACCAUAAAAUAAAGUGUUCAAAGUAUGUGUCAAUUUGCAUUUUGAGAUUUACUACUAUAAUGAUUCUAAGAGUACUGAAAAAACUGUAAAGACAUUUUUUGCUUUGUAAGCAAAAUUCCCACCGAGAAUGUCCCACCCUGCAGAUUUGGCCCACAUCACUGGUUUCCAGUGGUGGUAUAUGGAAAGAUACUGGGUAACUGCAGAAUAUUGUUGUUAGCUGCUGAAAUGUUUAUAAAAAUGCAUACUAUACUAUUGCUAAAAUGUAGAGGUAAAUCUCUAGAUGGGAAUGCACCUUGGAGAAAGUAGUAGCUUAAUGAAAGCGUGUAAAGUUGCUUUGAGUUCAGACUGCAGGCAGAAAAAUCUUUUGUUUCUUCCAACACAGCAAAUAUUGGAGAAGUUAUAGUGCUAAUGUAAUGAUUGACUUCUUACAGUGGAUCCUGCUCAGAAUUACAAUGUUCUCAGAAUUAAUCUCCAGAGACAUCUAGAGGAUAUGUGACAUUCCCUGCAGGACUUAGAGGCUUGAACUUCAAUAAUAGUCACUAUAGCAUUUAAAAGAAACACACACACACCAUUAAUUAAGUGAAAAUGCCCCAAUACCAAAUGACAGCAUGGAUAAAAUCUACAUAUAUGUGUGAAUGUGUUCUGUGCCUGGCCUGUAAAUGUUCUGUUUCAACCAACUGUGACUUUUUAUAUUUUAGAGAAGAGUUUUCUGCUGACUGGAUCAUCGUUUGGGAGAAAUUUGAAGUGGUGUAAUAUAAGAGCACCAAUGUUUUGUGAUACAUGUGACAGCUGGGGUUGAAACUGGGGAUAAGUGAAGUUCAUUUGAUGUUACAUGUCACAUGGCUUUUGGAAGAUCCGUUGUCUUUAAUCAUAAUCUCCUGAAACAAAAGCUUAUGCGUGGACUGUUUGUGAAGUGCAUAACACUGUUUUCAUGUUUUACAAGAGAAGGCACAGCCAUCUGUUGCAUUUGGAAAACUGUUGAAGAUAUUUUUAUGCAAAACACUUAUUUUAUUAACAGUGCAACUCAAGAAAAGCUCUUGGUUUAAAAUUACUUUUACAUUUUUAUUAGUUGAAACUAUAAGAUUACUUUGUAAUAGAAUUUUUAUUUGAGUUGGAAUGGUCAGUGGAAAUGAUCGGCAUACCCAAUACUCCCAUUGCUAUGCAAAAGUAGUUUUGUUUUUCUGGAAUACAGGAAAUUAUACAGUGCAUGCAAAUAUUAAUCAAUGAAUAUAUGCUUUAAAUAAUUUGGAUUUGGGACUUACAUUAUUUUUAAAUAGUUUGGAAAAGUGCCUAACAGUUACAGACUGUGGUGAGGACACUUUGGAGUAAGGCAAAGUCAAGAUGCUUGUUCUUACUUUACCUGCUCACAAGUACAGGUAUUUUUUAGUGUUUUUUUUUUUUUUUUUUUUUUUAAUCUGUUUGCUGUCAAGUGGCCACAAUUGCUGAAUUGCAUUUUAUUUCAUACUUCGAUAUCAAAUGUUAAUACAGUGGAGGAAACUUUAAAAAAAGGUUUUAAAAAAAAAAUAAUGAUAUGCAGUAUGAUCAGUAUUGUCCCCUGACAAAGAAGCUUGUGGCCAAUCAGCUCCUCAACUACCUUUGCCUUAGAAAAAGUUCACAUUAAAAAGUAGCUAUAAUAAAUAAAACUUGCUUUCAGUCCCAUACACAGGACCGAUGGUUUGCUCUGUGGAAUAAGACUGUAUGUAGUGGAGCUCUCUUCCAUAUUAUAAAAUAGUUGUAGGUAGAGGGGAUGGAAGUUCUUAAGCUAGAAGCAGUGCAGGAAGGGAAAUAGGAUGCCUCAGAAAUAGGAUGCAAAGAAACUUAUAAAAGAGCCAUUCUGUCUGGAUUUCCAGCUGGGUGAUGAUGGAGCAUGGGCCCUUGUGAGGUUGGAAGGCCAGCAGGGAGGUAGGUGUCCUUGAAAGAUGGAGUGUGUAAGUGUGGUUCAGUUGCAAAGUCUGUGGCACUGUUAGAGUUAUUGCAGUAAUGCUGAAUUUUAUGAUUCGCUGAUACUGUCUUGUGGAAACAAAAAGAAAGGUCUAAGAGGAAAACCAGAAGGCCCUUGUAAAAAAAAAAAAAAAAAAAAAGAAAAAAAAAAGAAAAAAAGGACGCUCUCAUUCUGUAUAGUUAAAAUGAACUUCUGUUCUAUUAUGUAAAUUAGUUUUGCACUUGUAACACUAAGAUGGUUUGAUUGAAAGAACAUUUUUGCUUGAAGGUACACACAGUAUCAAAUGAGGUAAAAAGAGAAGGGUUCAUUGAAGGAAAUGGAGGCACAAGCAGCUUUUACUCCUACAUUGCCUAUCUUACAUAGCCUUGAGCAUUCCUUUCCAAUAAAGAGAAAGGAAAAGUCACUGGGAACCCCCAGAAAGUUGCUCCUUUUUUUCUCCUACACUUCCUUUCAUCUGUGUGUAAUACAUGGGUACAUAAAUAGCCCAUGUAACCCUUCUCUUCCCCCCUUUCUGGCCCACCUUCUCUCUAUUUUUUCCAACAGAUAAUCUGAUUUACAACAUAAUUAUGUUCACUAAUUAAUAAUGUGCAGCUCAGGAGAAGGAAAGUCAUUUAGUAUGGAAAAAUUAUGAUGUAGAUUUAAGGGUUCAGAUAUGUGAAAAUGUUUUGGUGGAAUAGCAAGUUUCCUACACUGUCUAACUGUUGGUAACUGUCCAUUAUUACACUUUAGAUCAUGAAUUUAGAGUGCUUUGAUUCAGUCCUUUGGCCAGCAUUCAUUUACACAGCUUCUUUUUUCCCUUCUUCAAGCUGCAAGUCCAAAACACAGUGUAGUUCUACAUUUAUUGACUUCAGAAAAAGGACUUGAUGCCUCAGAAAUGUCAUUAUAUGCAAAAUGUCUGCAGAGUGGGGAAGGUAAAAUAAUUGGUAGCAACUUUCUUCCAGUGGAAAGUGAAGUCCAAUGCAACAGUAUAAACCUUAAAGCUCUAGGGCAGAUCCCAAGAAAAUGUUCUGUUGUGUGCAAUGGGUUGUAGUGGAUGAGUUUUGUAAAACUGAAUAGUGUUGCCUUGGUGUAAUUGUUAUGAAUGUAAACAUAUGUGAAAGGGGAGAAGGCAGUAGUAUAAAAGUCAUAAUGACUAGAAUUUCUUCCUUUGAAAUAUACUCACAUGUCAAAAGCUACUUUCUUGCACAGUAAAUUGGAUCACAGCAAAUACAUUAUUGAUUAUGUUAUUGUAAAUCGUUUGCAGGUGAGAGAUAUUUUGUAUUAUUACUUGUUCAGAGUCCAACAAUCAUGAGAUAAAAAGGACAAAUUGGAAUUUCACUUGAUGGAGUCCUGCACAUCAGAUAUUCUUCUAUCUGAGGCUGCCAGUAGUGCAGCAGAAAUGCCUAAGUGGUAUUAGGUAGAAAACUGACAGCAGCCUGCAUUUCUGGAACUGGACAGCAGAAAUCAGACCUAAUGCAAGGGAGCAGUCAAGGCUGCAUGAACAGAUGCUGAACUUCUCAGAGACCACAAUUUGUCAUCUCAAAAUAUUUCGGAGAAAAUCAGUGCAGAAUUUCACAUUCAUCAUGGCUUUAUUUUUUAAUUAAAGAAGAACAGCAAUCAUUAAAAUUAGCUUUUGCAUAUUCCAGAAAUGCCUUUGACAGUACGUUUGUGCAAAGGAGGAAGGAACUGCAGAGAUAAAUUCCAGUCAUCUCAGUUUUCAAUGGAAAUCAAAAAACGACUGGGAGAAGGUUAAGAAGUAAUGGGGUGAACAUUCUUGAGAAACACUGCAAAAUUACACGGAGCCAUCAUGUUGAACAUGCAGGGCCUAAUCUGAAACCUGCUGAGGUCAAUUAAAAUCUUGAUAUUAAUUUUCUCAGGUUUCAGAUUAACCUCAUCUUUAUUUUGUAGAAUUAUAUUAUGAUGGAUUUUUUCUAUCCUCAGGCUUACAUGCUUUUGUCUUCACACUUUCUGUAAGAUUCCCAAUAAUGCUAUUUUUAAUUUGAUGUUCAGGUUCUACUCCUUCCUGUGAGAAAUACAUUUGUAAUGCAAAUAGAAGCUGGAAAAUGGUUGUCUGAAGGUGGUGUUCUUAUACCCGCACUGUUCUUUCUAAAAUGCCAAGUAUUGUCUGAUGGAAAUAUUUAAUAGUUUGACUCUAAAUUAUUUAAAUAAAUAUCCUUUAUUAAAUGAAAUUGCAGAAGUGGUUGUUGUGACAGUGUAAUCAUUUACUCAAAUUACCCAUCCUUGUAGAUAUUUUUCCUUUGUUUCAACCUCUGUUUUCACUAAUAUACAAUAACUCUGGAUCUAUAUUUCAGAACAACAGAUUAUUUUAGACUGUGUCAAUGAAAAUACUAAUUGGUCUUAUUUGUGGUACAUCAUUACAGUGAGUUAAGUUUAUCUGUGCUGUGCAUAGGUAUGGGUUUAGUACUGAUUGACUGUUAUUAUGUAGGCUCUGGCUACAUUCCAGCAGUGGUGCAGCUGUAUCUGUACAACUGUGUAUCACACCAAAAUCCC